rnacentral:rRNA from 1 species
GUAGGGAAUAUUGGACAAUGGGGGGAACCCUGAUCCAGCCAUGCCGCGUGGAGGAAGACUGCCCUCUGGGUUGUAAACUCCUUUUAUAUGGGAAGAACCGUCCUCAUUAAUGAGUGACCUGACGGUACCAUAGGAAUAAGCACCGGCUAACUCCGUGCCAGCAGCCGCGGUAAUACGGAGGGUGCAAGCGUUAUCCGGAUUCACUGGGUUUAAAGGGUGCGUAGGCGGAUAAAUAAGUCAGUGGUGAAAUCAACGGGCUCAACCUGUUAACGGCCAUUGAUACUGUGUAUCUUGAAUAUGAGAGAGGUAGGCGGAAUGUUGCAUGUAGCGGUGAAAUGCUUAGAUAUGCUACGGAACACCGAUUGCGAAGGCAGCUUACUAUUUCGUAAUUGACGCUGAGGCACGAAAGCGUGGGUAGCGAACAGGAUUAGAUACCCGAGUAGUCC